GGGGGCGGGUUGAAGGGUCGAUUAGCAUGCGAGUCGAGAGGGUGCGGUCUCGGCGUACUGCUCAGAAUGGACCCCCUCCCCUAGGGAAGGGGAUAACCCCGGGAAACGGGAUAAUACCCUAUAGAUUACAGAUGCUGGAAUGCCCUGUAAUCCAAAGUUCCGACGCCCUAGGAUGGAUCUGCGGCCGAUUAGGUUGUUGUUGGGGUAAUGGCCCAACAAGCCCGUAAUCGGUACGGGUUGUGGGAGCAAGAGCCCGGAGUUGGAUUCUGAGACACGAAUCCAGGCCCUGCGGGGCGCAGCAGGCGCGAAAACUUUACAAUGCGGGCAACCGUGAUAAGGGAACCUCGAGUGCCUGUAAAUGCAGGCUGUUCAGGUGCCUAAAACACACCUGAAGAAAGGGCCGGGCAAGAC
rnacentral:rRNA from 1 species